rnacentral:ncRNA from 1 species
AUAUUUGCAGCGUUUUAAGGUUGAACAUAGUUCAUUAAUAGGGAAUCAAGUGAGAAUUUAUUCAAUGCUUGAGCUGUACCCGCAACUGUAGACUAUUCCACCUAUAGCAUAAGAUGCCACUGGAUCCGGAUCCGGGAAGGCCGCUAUAGGAUGUAAGCCAGGAGACCUGCCUUAAUACAAUUCAGAAG